rnacentral:tRNA from 1 species
AUUUAAGUAGUUUAAUUAGAAUAAUAAUUUGUGGAGUUAUAGGUAUUGUUUAAAAUCUUAAAU